CAAAUGCCCAAUCUCGACGCUGCAAGUUAAUAAGCUUCCAUUUCCAAUUUUUCCAAAUUUCCCAAAUUCCCCAAGAUCCAGUGAGUGAGUGCUGGAAAGUGUAAAUCAAAUCAAAUCAAAUAUCAAUGGCCGAGAGUCUAAUGGUGGUGCCGUACUCCUCGUAUACACCUGGUCGUCCUCCUCAUCCUCGACUGCAACAACAUCAUCUUCUGAAAUCCUUUCCCGCCUCUUCCUCCUCCUCCUCCUCGUCGAUCCAACACAACACCAACAGCAACACUCUCUCCGUCUCUUCGUCCGCGGGCCAAGGCCAAUGCUUCUUGUUCAAAUCUUACCAUCCCCUCCCUUUGCGUUUGCCUUUGCAGCGCCGCUCAACUCUCAGCGCUCUUGACUCCGACGUCCCUCACCCUCUUCACCAGGGAUCAGUGAAAUCCUCGAGCAGCAAAACUAGUUUCGAGCAAUGGAAUUCGUGGACAGCAAAAUUCUCCGGCGCAUCAAAUCUCCCAUUUCUGUUACUGCAAAUGCCUCAAAUCUACCUCAAUGCCCAAAAUCUUCUGGCAGGAAAUAAAGCUGCCCUUUUGGCAGUCCCAUGGAUGGGAAUGUUUACCGGUUUGCUUGGAAACCUUUCCCUGCUUUCAUAUUUUGCGAAGAAGAGGGAGAAUGAGGCCAUUGUGGUUCAGACACUGGGUGUAAUUUCCUUAUAUGUGGUUUUUGCACAGCUUUCCAUGGCAGAUGCGAUGCCUCUACCUUACUUUGUCAUUACCUCCAUUGUUGUCGUAACUGGUCUUGUUUUGAAUUUCUUGAAUUACUUUGGUUGGCUUAAUGCUGGACUCUGGCGCUUCUGGGAGGACUUUAUUACUGUUGGCGGGCUAUCGGUUCUUCCUCAAAUUAUGUGGUCUACGUUUGUUCCAUAUCUACCCAACAGUAUCUUGCCUGGGGCAUUGGCUUUUGUUGUAGCUGUGGUGGCUGUUGUUAUGGCUCGAAUGGGGAAACUCUCUGAAGGUGGCAUAAAAUUUGUUGGAGCAAUAUCUGGAUGGACAGCUACACUUCUCUUCAUGUGGAUGCCGGUUUCACAAAUGUGGACAAAUUUCCUAAAUCCUGACAAUAUCAAAGGUUUAUCAGCUUCCUCGAUGUUGCUUGCAAUGAUUGGAAAUGGACUUAUGAUCCCACGCGCACUUUUUAUUCGUGAUUUGAUGUGGUUCACUGGUUCUACUUGGGCUUCUUUCUUUUAUGGAUAUGGGAAUAUUGUGUGCUUGUAUUGGUAAUGGUUUCUGAUUUUUGGUUCAACAUUAUCAGCAAGGAAUUUUUCUUAGCAGCGACAACUGGUUUGUUUUUGUGGAUAGGAAUGGCUGUAUGGAGAGAUGCUGUUGUCAACGAAUACGACUCACCUUUCACAUCUUUGAAAGAGUUGGUUUCUGGAUUGUAACUUCGAGAAUCCGGUCGAGGUGAUAAUGUCAAGAAGCCUCAAUGCAGUUGGCAACAGUUCUCGCAAGGGAAUAAGACGUGUUAUAAUAUCUUACGAUUAAAUAUGUAAUAUAAUUCCAAUAACUAAUUAAUAUACAUUGAAAGUCCAGGUCCUGUCUUUACAGUGACCUGCUUAGUAAUUAAUCUACGGUAGUUGUGGCGAUGUCAGGUGGGAUUUACAUUUGAACGAUCCUAAACGGUAGUUUUAACCAGGAUAUGUACACCAAUUGCAUCCGCUAACAUCAUUGCUGUCGGAGUUCUUCAAUACGAGUUUGUGGGGAAAAUUUGUAGUC